UAUAAUUUAGUUUAUACGAACGUUAAGUUUUGAUCUUAGAGGAGGUGGUGGAAUUCUACUUGUUGUAA
rnacentral:tRNA from 1 species